rnacentral:rRNA from 1 species
UACGUAGGUGGCGAGCGUUGUCCGGAUUUACUGGGCGUAAAGGGAGCGUAGGCGGACUUUUAAGUGAGAUGUGAAAUACCCGGGCUCAACUUGGGUGCUGCAUUUCAAACUGGAAGUCUAGAGUGCAGGAGAGGAGAAUGGAAUUCCUAGUGUAGCGGUGAAAUGCGCAGAGAUUAGGAAGAACACCAGUGGCGAAGGCGAUUCUCUGGACUGUAACUGACGCUGAGGCUCGAAAGCGUGGGGAGCAAACAGGAUUAGAUA